rnacentral:rRNA from 1 species
AGUUUGAUCCUGGCUCAGAUUGAACGCUGGCGGUAUGCCUUGCACAUGCAAGUCGAACGGUAGAGGGGCAACCCUUGAGAGUGGCGAACGGGUGAGUAAUACAUCGGAACGUGCCCAGUCGUGGGGGAUAACGUAGCGAAAGCUACGCUAAUACCGCAUACGCUCGAGAGAGGAAAGUGGGGGGAUCGCAAGACCUCACGUUAUAGGAGCGGCCGAUGUCCGAUUAGCUAGUUGGUGGGGUAAAGGCCUACCAAGGCGACGAUCGGUAGCUGGUCUGAGAGGAUGAUCAGCCACACUGGGACUGAGACACGGCCCAGACUCCUACGGGAGGCAGCAGUGGGGAAUUUUGGACAAUGGGCGAAAGCCUGAUCCAGCCAUGCCGCGUGCGGGAAGAAGGCCUUCGGGUUGUAAACCGCUUUAGUCCGGGAAAAAGGGGUGCGAGGAUAAUACCCUCGUGCUUUGAUGGUACCGGAAGAAUAAGCACCGGCUAACUACGUG